rnacentral:snRNA from 1 species
CGAUUUCAUAGUGAUUAAAAAGG